AAUAUUGCACAAUGGAGGAAACUCUGAUGCAUCGACGCCGCGUGAGUGAAGAAGGUCUUCGGAUCGUAAAACUCUGUACUUGGUGACGAUAAUGACGGUAGCUAAGGAGGAAGCCCCGGCUAACUACGUGCCAGCAGCCGCGGUAAUACGUAGGGGGCUAGCGUUGUCCGGAUUUACUGGGCGUAAAGGGUGAGUAGGCGGUUGCAUAAGUCAGAUGUAAAAGGCUAAGGCCUAACCAUAGUAUGCAUUUGAAACUGUGUGACUUGAGUGCAGGAGAGGUAAGCAGAAUUCCUAGUGUAGCGGUGAAAUGCGUAGAUAUUAGGAGGAACACCAGUGGCGAAGGCGGCUUACUGGACUGUAACUGACGCUGAGUCACGAAAGCGUGAGUAGCAAAC
rnacentral:rRNA from 1 species